AUUGAACGCUGGCGGCAGGCCUAACACAUGCAAGUCGAACGAGUGGCGGACGGGUGAGUACUGUCUGGGACACUGCCUGAUGGAGGGGGAUAACUACUGGAAACGGUAGCUAAUACCGCAUACCAUCGGAUGUGCCCAGAUGGGGUUAGCUAGUAGGUGGGGUAACGGCUCACCAAGGCGACGAUCCCUAGCUGGUCUGAGAGUAUGACCAGCCAAACUGGAACUGAGAAACGGUCCAGACUCCUACGGGAGGCAGCAGUGGGGAAGAUUGCACAAUGGGCGCAAGCCUGAGGCAGCCAUGCCGCGUGUAGGAAGAAGGCCUUCGGGGUGUAAAGUACGUUCAGCGGGGAGGCGUUACCCGCAGAAGAAGCACCGGCUAACUCCGUGCCAGCAGCCGCGGUAAUUC
rnacentral:rRNA from 1 species